UACGUAGGGGGCGAGCGUUUCCCGAAUUUACUGGGCGUAAAGCGCACGUAGGCGGCUUCGUAAGUCUGGUGUGAAAUCUCACGGCUCAACCGGGAGGCUGCACCAGAUACUGCGAAGCUCGAGGACGGGAGAGGAGAUCGGAAUUCCCGGUGUAGCGGUGAAAUGCAUUGAUAUCGGGAGGAACACCAGUGGCGAAGGCGGAUCUCUGGCCCGUUGCUGACGCUGAGGUGCGAAAGCUGGGGGAGCGAAAGGG
rnacentral:rRNA from 1 species